UACAGAGGUCCCAAGCGUUGUUCGGAUUCAUUGGGCGUAAAGGGUGUGUAGGUGGCGCGCUAAGUCGGGUGUGAAAUUUCGGAGCUUAACUCCGAAACUGCAUUCGAUACUGGCGUGCUUGAGGACUGGAGAGGAGACUGGAAUUCAUGGUAUAGCAGUGAAAUGCGUAGAGAUCAUGAGGAAGACCAGUGGCGAAGGCGGGUCUCUGGACAGUUCCUGACACUGAGGCACGAAGGCCAGGGGAGCAAACGGG
rnacentral:rRNA from 1 species